GGCCAAAAUAGUGAAUCUGGAAUUGAAGAAUAGAAACUCAUGGAUACUGUAGAAAAAUUUUUUGAAAUAAAUGCAGCUUGCCCCAUGUAUUGCAGCACUAGACAUGGAUAUACAACAAAAGAAAAUGCAACCCUUACUGAUGAAGCAGUGAACUGGCCUAGUUCUGCAUAUAUAACUUCAGUUCCGGUAAUACAUAAAAG
rnacentral:misc_RNA from 1 species